UUGAUGCUUAGCAUCAGCAACAUGUCGGAAGAAGACAAGUUGCACAACUUCAUUAGCGGGCUGCAACAGUGGGCGCAACUUGAGUUGCGUAGGCAGAAUAUUCAAAACCUCGCAAGUGUUGUGGCUGCGGCGAAUGCAUUGGGCGAUUUACAUAUUAAUGAGGAGAAUUCCGCUUCAAAGUCCAACGACGGAAAGAAGGACAAGGCAAAGGAGUGGAAGAAAUGUGAAAAUGGCAAUGCACAUGAAGAU
rnacentral:lncRNA from 1 species